CCCAAUCCCAGGCAGCUGUUUCUCAGCUGUUUGCAACAAGCUUCUAGAAAUUUUUGCCCCUUAAUUACAGUUUACAGCGGGCCUUACAGGAACAAACCAUUUUGGGCUCGCCUGAGGCCGUUAUAGACCCACCGGGUGGGGUCUUCGCUGGGCAGGGGAGGGAGACUCAGCCUUAAAGCUGGAACUGGUUUUUCUAGUUCCCAGGCCCUGAGCAGGUUCUUCCCUGGGUUUCUUUUUCUGCGGAUUUGCAAAUGACAUGGGACUCUCUGUCACAAAGAAUCCUAGGAGGCCAAAGCCCAGAAGGGUGCCUCUCAGACAAUGCUGGAAGUUUCAGAACUAGCUGAACUCCUUUGUUUACCACAUCCGACACCCCAGACGCCAUGUCACCUCCCCACCAGCUUUCAGGCACACUGAUGAAGCCAGAAAGAAAGAAAGUCAUAGCAUGUCACCUGAGGCCUGAUUCCAGUCAACAUCCUGCCCAAUUCACGCAUGCUCUCUGGAAGCCACGGGGUGGAGUAACACUGACUUGUUGCCUUGCUUCAAAGACCACCAUCAGCACCUUGCCAGACCAACGUGCAUUGCUUACAGCCAGUUGAAGGGAUAAGGCAAAGGCCUAGCCAGCCCUGCACACAUCAGUACAUGGAAAUAGGGUCCAGUAUAGCCAAAAUGGAGAUAAUUGCUCUUCUUUCAAGGAGAGCUGUCCUUUCAAGGAGAGCUCCACAGAGACCGACACCGAUAAAGAAGGAGCACCGCUCGCUUUGGAAGAGCAGGCUGCUUAACCUGCCGGUGGGAGUCUGGGAACGGCUCUGUCAGUGAGGCAUCCUCACUUCCUCUGCUGGGAGCAGGGUCACUUCCGCCCUCAGCCCCUGCACCCUGACUAGGACAGCGGGCCCUCCUCCUCCACGCACCGUGCAGUGUGGACUCCAAGACAUCACAUCUCCCAAGUGUAACUAGAAGCCGCUAGAGUACUGUUUUGCCACCUCUGUGGAAACAUGUAUGGAAAAACGCAUAGCUAGCUGAACGCCCAGCGAACA